CACCAUUUUAUUCUUCAAAUACUCAAUCAAAUUUUCAAUUUAUCCUAUCACUCGAAGUAUACGUCCCCUAAAGAUAAACAUUAUCAGUGCAAUGAUAAAAACUCACAUGCACAUACAGAUAUAUCAAAUAUUAGACAUAAAAUGUCCCCUUGGGAUGGCCUAGUGGUUGGGGUGGUUCCCUGUUAUCCAAGAGGUCAUAGGUUCGAGUACUCUCGGCCACAAUAACCACUAGGUGGGGUGUGUGUGGUUUGUAUUAUUUAUAAUGUAAUUUCAUCAAAAAAAAAAUAUUAGACAUAAAAAGAGGAAGUGAUAACAUACCAUCCAUGGUAGGGCACCAAGAUUGAAGAGUGAAGAAAAUGGCCAAACACACUAUUCAACUUGGGAUUGUUUGAAAAGCUUCCAUGGCCACUGCAUC
rnacentral:lncRNA from 1 species